rnacentral:lncRNA from 1 species
UUGAGUGCUGUUGAGUCUGUAGAGCUGGUGCGAAGCUCGUCUGUGCGGCGUUGGGAGCGAGGUGCCGGGCUUCGAAGGCGCCGUAGGAGGCUCUGCGCGCACCGCCCAGGGCGGGCCUGCGGGUCCGGACACCGCCGCCUGCGGGGAGUCUCGGUGCCGCGUCCCGCCCGGUCGCUGGGCUGUGGUCGCUCCGCUCUGGCCGGAGGCGCCGACGGCGGCGGCCGCGCCGAGGGACCCGGCCGAGCAGGGCAGUGUGACCUUUGAGGAUGUGGCCGUUAACUUCUCCUGGGAGGAAUGGUGUCUUCUUGAUGAGGUCCAGAUACCCCUGUGCCUUGAUGUCAUGCUGGAGAACUUGGCACUUGUGCCCAAGCUGGAUCCUGGGCCAGGGACCGAAUCCGAGCUGCAGCUUCGGCCUACGCUGCAGUGGUGGUAAUGCUGGACCCUCAAACACUGCUCCAGGCUGGGGAUCAAACCCUUGCCACAUCAGAGACAGCCUCCUUAAUCUGCUCGCCACAGUAGAGACUCCAAGACUGUUGACUUUGCUUAUAUUGAAAUAGUUGGAUGAAUAGCUAACAUAUGUGUUAUCAUUUUCUGGUCACUGCCCUUGUUCCUAUUUUAGUUUUCACUAUGCCUUUUGUGAUUUCAAUUGAGCAUUUUAUAUGAUUUCAUUUUCUGUCCUUUGUGUAUCAGCUAUGCUGGUUUUACUUGUUUCUUUUCUUUUUUUUUCUCUGUACCUGUCGCAUUUGAAUGUCCCCCAGCCGGGGAUCGAAUCUGCCUCACAGCAUUGACCCAAGCUGCUGAAGUGACGACACUGGAUCCUUAACCAGCUGUGCCACAAGAGAAUUCCCACUUUUCAUUUUUUAGGUAGUUCAGCUAGAGCAUGCAUAUGUAUUUAUAACUAAUUUAAGUCUAUUUUCAUAAAACACUAUAUGGCUUCAUUAGUAGUUUCAUUACUUUAUAAUUCAAUAAAAAAAAACUCUAAUUCCUUUCUCUCCUCUGUUGUGCUGUUUCUCUCAUUCAUUUUAAUUUUACAUGAGCAAUCAUAAAUGGAGUUGCCUGGUGGCUCCGUGGGUUCAAGAUCUGGCCUUGUUACUGAUAUGGGACAGGUUUGCUCCCUGGCCCUGGAACCUCCUCAUGCCAUAGAUGUAGCCAAAAAAUAAAG